UACGGAGGGAGCAAGCGUUACUCGGAAUUAUUGGGCGUAAAGGGCGCGUAGGCGAUUCGAAAAGUCAACUGUGAAAGCCCAGGGCCUAACCCUGGAAGUGCAGCUGAUACUGUUGAAUUUGAGUUCCGGAGAGGAAGGCAGAAUUCCCGGUGUAGCGGUGAAAUGCGUAGAUAUCGGGAGGAAUACCAGUGGCGAAGGCGGCCUUCUGGACGGAUACUGACGCUGAGGCGCGAAAGCUAGGGGGGCAAACGGG
rnacentral:rRNA from 1 species